UACGUAGGGUGCAAGCGUUGUCCGGAAUUAUUGGGCGUAAAGAGCUCGUAGGCGGUUUGUUGCGUCGGCUGUGAAAUCCCGAGGCUCAACCUCGGUCUGCAGUCGAUACGAGCAAACUAGAGUGUUGCAGGGGAGACUGGAAUUCCUGGUGAUAGCGGUGAAAUGCGCAGAUAUCAGGAGGAACACCGGUGGCGAAGGCGGGUCUCUGGGCAACAACUGACGCUGGAG
rnacentral:rRNA from 1 species